UACAUCUCUUUCUUUUGCUGCUGGUUUAUAAUUGGUGAAUGAUUUUGGCACACUUCAUGUUCAUCAAUCUGUUCUGAGCUUGUCUUUGUUACUAUCCUAGUUUUGAUCAGAUUGUGUCUAGUCCUCGAAGGCAUUGAGACAUUGACAGCCAAAAGUCUCUUUUUUUAUUUAUGUUUGAUCUGAGUUGUUGGAGAAAAGAGAAGAAAAAUGGACGAUUUUACAAAAAAAAUGUAUGUUUUCUUCUUAUAAGCCAACCUUUGAAGUGAAACUCAGUGAAGCCUCUUAUGUUGGUUUUGGACUUUCUUGCUCUCAGGUUUCUUAUUUCAGCUAUAUGUUUAUGAUUGUGUUCCUGGUUGAUAUAAGGAACUUAGUAACAUCAAGGGAAGGAGUUUUACAUACUAAGAUGUUAGUAUUGUCAUCACAUACUAAGAUGUUAGCUUUUACAUCCAACCUUAUACUGUUUUUUUUUUUCACAUUUCAAUACCUUUUGAGUUCUUUCUGCAUCAACUGAUGUUAAAAUUUGAAUAUGGCUAUACUUGGAAAACUUCUAACUGGAAAUCCAAAGAUGCAGAACUGUAUAGUUUGAAGACACUGUAGCUAGAUUCAUCUGCCUCAUCUUUUAAGGAGGCGACUUCUAGAUCUCCGUAGACUUACAUAACUAUCAAUCUUCUCAGACUACGUCAUGUCUUUUUGCAAAGUGGAGGGCAAGUAGUGAAAUAUAUGUCAAAGUGGAGUGCCACAAAUCCCACAAUCAUCACUCUGAAUAGUUUGCUUCAUUAUUGUACCAAUAUGUCCAGCAUUUUUAGUCUUCCGUUUUAUUUUUAUAGAAACUCCAAGGAGCGUGGCAGUUGGACAAAGGCAUGGACUGACUAAGAUCUUGCUGAAGAUGUUAUUGCGGAAGCAUCAGCUAGCAUCAGUAGUGCCAAAUUUCGGAAGGUGAAAGGGGAAUUGAAGUCUUCUGCUAUGGCCAUGAAAGCUGUAGUCACAACCCACUUUUUGAUGCUUUGCAUGCAGCUGAAGAUGUAAGAUCUGAGUUGGAACAGAGGCCUGUGGGUUUUGAGGUUUGGUAGAGGGUGGAACUCUAUCUUGGCUACAUACCGAGAUGUAUUUGGUGAUAGAACUUCGGUAGAUCUAAAGAACAAGUGGACACAAAUGACAGAGAACGCUCGGAAGAGGCACCUGUGAACAGUCUGCUGUUCUGCUACUAUGUUGAUUUUGCUCGUAUAUAUCAAUACCUUAGCUGUAUGAUGGAGAAUAUGGAUCAGAGCUCACUUGCUAUGAUCCAGAAUGGUGAAAGUAGAUGAGUGAAUGAGUAAGCAUAGGUAACUGUAGAAUCGUCAAGGGAAGCACCUUAUGUAGCUCAACAAAGGAGAUGAGGGAGGUUUGGCAAGAGUGUGCAGUCUGUUGGAAAUACCUUUGAAACAAAUGCUGCUGAAAAGCUAUUGAUGUAUGAAACAAGAAACAUACUGUUUUUGAUGAAAAAUUCUUUCCAAUUAUGCAUGUGGGUAGUUUCCAUCUAUAUAUGUAAUGUGUAAUGUUAAAUAUCAUUAAGUUCUAUUG